GGACCCGUAAGCGCUGCUUAGACAGACUUGUCUCUCAAAAUGCCAAAGUAGCAAGUACCACAGGUGCCACCGGGGAGCGAAUGAGGAAGGCAGGGCCUCAGAGCCAACCGCAUUGAAAGAAAAUCUGGGAGUAGAUGGCCACAGUGCCCUGUGACAACUGAGACUCCAGAGGACAGGGACGGGCCAGGCAGAACCAGCCAUGAAGCUCAUUACCAAGGCUGCUAGGCCUUUGACCUCAUCCGUGUACCUGGGAGGCCUCUUCUUCUUGUGGCCUGGAAGUGACCUUAGACAGCCACCUUAGAGCCCAGCCUGGCCUUACCAGACCCUGGAGAUCCCAGAAGUCACUGUGCUAAGGCCUGGCCAAUCCCAGCUCUAACCACAAGAGGUCCCACAGGGGCCCCCUCUCCCCCUGACCUCAGGACUUCUGCUUUCUUGGGGACAAAGCAAGCACAAGGGAACUUGUGGCCGAGGAAUCUCCACCGCGGCAAGACCUGUAAGGAUCCAGCUUUGCAGCUGAAGGGUCCUGGUGAGAAGCAAAACUGAAGGUCUCUGUUCAAGAGAAGUGACAAUAUUCAAGUCAGGCCAGAAGCUCCGAGUCUCUUCAGAGGACAGGAACUCCCCCAACACAGGCCUGCCCCUUCAGAAUCUAAAGAGCCCUGCAGAUGUCUUUACCAGCAGCCUGGCCCUCAGCUCAUCCUUCCCUGGGUCAAAGUGUAACUCGAUUUAGAGGUCAGAGUGGCCCGCAGCAGUAUGGAAGGAGAGAGAGAGGGGGAGAGGGGAGGGGCUCUGGGGACAGUCAAGUUAUCAUCAGUCAGCUACUGGAGAUAAAGCAGUCAUUAGCCAGCAGCCAGAUGCUGACUGUGAGACUCUACAGCACUGCUCUGGUCCCCAUGGCCUGGGGAGAGAGUGGCCUACAGUCAGGGAGUCACUUGGACUGUCAGUGAACUGUCUGCGUUCUUCACUCAACUGUACCGCAGGGUGAAGCCGAGAACUGGGCAACACUGGAAGUUUAGGAGUGGCCCUAGGAUCACCCUGGGAUUGAGUCCCUCAGAACAGAGCAACAGGGGUCUGUCACUGGAGAGGGCAGGAGAUGGGUUGGCAAGGAGACAAGGGAACAGGAAGCUAGAGCCAAACUUCUCGCCUCACGCCUGAACUUCCUGAGGUGGCUUAUUUGCAUGACGCCCAGACAGAUGGGCCACUGGUCACCUGCAUUCCAGAUCAUGCAAAACUCCAACAGUCGCUGUGGCCAGUCAGGAGCGGUCUCCACACUGCUCCCCCUGAGCUAACCCCUAGGCUUGGUCUGUGACAUGCUACAUGUGUGCCCGUAGAUACAUAGAAGGGGUCAGACAGGAACCUUCUCCCUGAGCUCGGUCAGCAGUUAAAAGGUAACAGCCACAAGCACAGGUCACUCAGGUCCCUGGAGGGCUUUGGGUAGAGUUCUGCUUACGACCUGGGUGGGAUGCAGCCCUAGUGGCUGGUGGGGAGAUGGGGCACAGACCCCAAAGAGGUGCCUGAGUCACAUGGACCCAGCAAGAGAGCACACGGCACAACUGCACAGACUCACUCGAUGUUCUACAUCAAAGGACCUUCAGUUUCUUAAAGGGAAAAUGAGGCUUGGCCCUGACUGCAGGCCUCGGGAGGUGGUGCGCGACCUAAGCCUGAAGCAACCGCCUCUGCUCAAUGCUCUUUGUCUAUCCAGAAUAAAUAAAUAAAUCUUAUUGCUAGUU